CUGUGCUCCUCCCUCUCAUUCACAUGUUGAUACCCAAUCUCCAGUGUGAUGGAAUUUGGAGGUGGAGACUUUGAGAAGCAAUUCAGUUAUGAGGGCAGAGAAACCUCAUGAAUGGGAUAAGCGCCCUUAUCAAAGAGAGUCCAGAAAGCUGCCUCACCCCUUCCUCCGUGUGAGGACACAGCAGCAGCAAGUACUCCAGCAGCAGGAAGUACUGAUCUUCUGUGCUAAUGCUCAGUCUACUUCACGGCUGGAAUUUCCCUCGAGAGGGGAUUUAUGGCAGCGUCACUCUCAGAAGACUCUGCCUGUAGUCAGUUUUCUGCCUAGUUUAAACUGGGAUCCAAGGAACAGAAACAUCCUGCCUGAACUCAUUUAGUUAACAAGAACAAUGCAGCAUUUCCCAGAACAGGAAGAAGUCUCAGGGCAGAGCAAUUCUAAUUUAAGGUACAUCAACCAUUCCACACGUAAUCAAGGACAAUAUUCUACUAUUCAUUUGGUUCUGC
rnacentral:lncRNA from 1 species